UACGAAGGGGGCUAGCGUUGCUCGGAAUCACUGGGCGUAAAGGGUGCGUAGGCGGGUCUUUAAGUCAGGGGUGAAAUCCUGGAGCUCAACUCCAGAACUGCCUUUGAUACUGAAGAUCUUGAGUUCGGGAGAGGUGAGUGGAACUGCGAGUGUAGAGGUGAAAUUCGAAGAUAUUCGCAAGAACACCAGUGGCGAAGGCGGCUCACUGGCCCGAUACUGACGCUGAGGCACGAAAGCGUGGGGAGCAAACAGG
rnacentral:rRNA from 1 species